rnacentral:rRNA from 1 species
UACGUAGGUGGCAAGCGUUGUCCGGAUUUACUGGGCGUAAAGAGCGCGCAGGCGGUCGGAUUAGUCGCGUGUGAAAGCCCCCGGCUCAACUGGGGAGGGUCACGCGAUACUGUUCGACUCGAAGGCAGGAGAGGGAAGUGGAAUUCCCGGUGUAGUGGUGAAAUGCGUAGAUAUCGGGAGGAACACCAGUGGCGAAGGCGACUUCCUGGCCUGUUCUUGACGCUGAGGCGCGAAAGCUGGGGGAGCAAACGGG